CAUGCCGUAAACGGUGGGCGCUAGGUGUAGGGGUCUUCCACGACUUCUGUGCCGUAGCUAACGCAUUAAGCGCCCCGCCUGGGGAGUACGGCCGCAAGGCUAAAACUCAAAGGAAUUGACGGGGGCCCGCACAAGCGGCGGAGCAUGUGGAUUAAUUCGAUGCAACGCGAAGAACCUUACCUGGGCUUGACAUAUACGGGACGGGGCCAGAGAUGGUCCUUCCCUUGUGGCUCGUAUACAGGUGG
rnacentral:rRNA from 1 species